AGUUCUGUAGCUCCAUGGUAGAGCAUCUGCCUUGCGCACAGAGGGUCGUGGGUUCAAACCCCCAGGGCAU